UUUAUAGUAACAUUGUUUUAUACACAGACAGUCUCAGGACAACUGCAGCAUUGAGAUAGGUGACAUGUGAGACUUAUUGUAACAUUGUUACACAGACAGUCUCAGGACAACUGCAGUAUUGAGAUAGGUGACAUGUGAGACUUAUUGUAACAUUGUUACACAGACAGUCUCAGGACAACUGCAGUAUUGAGAUAGGUGACAUGUGAGACUUAUUGUAACAUUGUUACACAGACAGUCUCAGGACAACUGCAGUAUUGAGAUAGGUGACAUGUGAGACUUAUUGUAACAUUGUUACACAGACAGUCUCAGGACAACUGCAGUAUUGAGAUAGGUGACAUGUGAAACUUAUUGUAACAUUGUUGCACAGACCGUCUCAGGACAACUGCAGCAUUGAGAGAGGUGACAUGUGAAACUUAUUGUAACAUUGUUACACAGACAGUCUCAGGAUAACUGCAGUAUUGAGAUAGGUGACAUGUGAGACUUAUUGUAACAUUGUUGCACAGACCGUCUCAGGACAACUGCAGCAUUGAGAGAGGUGACAUGUGAAACUUAUUGUAACAUUGUUACACAGACAGUCUCAGGACAACUGCAGUAUUGAGAUAGGUGACGUGAGAUUUAUUGUAACAUUGUUGUAUACACAGACAGUCUCAGGACAACUGCUGUAUUGAGAGAGGUGACGUGUGAGAUUUAUUGUAACAUUAUUGUAUACACAGACAGUCUCAGGAUAACUGCAGUAUUGAGAGAGGUGACAUGUGGGACUUACUGUGGUAUUGUUGUAUACACAAUCUCAUGAUAACUAUAUUAUGCUGCAGGUAAAUGACAGGAAUAAUAGGCACAAUGAAUAAUGACUGUACAUAAUUAUGCUUUAACAAUGCUUAACUAAAUAUUGUAUAUGGUGUUUACUGUUCCUUGAAUGUGUCACUUUCACUCCAAUGACUACAAUACAAAGUUUUAUGUUUUUGUUUUUAGAGUACAUUUUUAUGUUUUUACACAAUUUUAAUAGAUAAAUUAUUUCUACAGACUCCUACUGAACCCUGCUCCAAAGUCGUUAAAAAUAAAUGAUAGAGUUAAUAAUAAAAUUGAACAACAACUAAGCUAUGCACGUUUUGUUUUAGAAAGACAGCGUUGUGUCAGUGCGCUGGGAGUGAGACGUUAAUGUCGCACUUAUAUAUUAUUAUUAUCUGUUAUUUUAGAGCGCCAACAGACUCUGCAGCGCUAAUCCCUUUAUUAGUGUUAUCAUUUUAUAGAUACAUUAAACACUUUAGUUUUCAUAUAUAACAUGUUUAAUUUUGUGCAGUAAAAGAACUGUCUUGUUGUCGUGAAUAAAAUAAAAUGUUUUUCUUUAUACUAA